CGCGGCCUAUCAGCUUGUUGGUGGGGUGAUGGCCUACCAAGGCGACGACGGGUAGCCGGCCUGAGAGGGUGACCGGCCACACUGGGACUGAGACACGGCCCAGACUCCUACGGGAGGCAGCAGUGGGGAAUAUUGCACAAUGGGCGGAAGCCUGAUGCAGCGACGCCGCGUGAGGGAUGACGGCCUUCGGGUUGUAAACCUCUUUCAGUAGGGAAGAAGCCUUUCGGGGUGACGGUACCUGCAGAAGAAGCGCCGGCUAACUACGUGCCAGCAGCCGCGGUAAUACGUAGGGCGCAAGCGUUGUCCGGAAUUAUUGGGCGUAAAGAGCUCGUAGGCGGCUUGUCGCGUCUGCUGUGAAAACGCAAGGCUUAACCUUGCGCCUGCAGUGGGUACGGGCAGACUUGAGUACUACAGGGGAGACUGGAAUUCCUGGUGUAGCGGUGAAAUGCGCAGAUAUCAGGAGGAACACCGGUGGCGAAGGCGGGUCUCUGGGUAGUAACUGACGCUGAGGAGCGAAAGCAUGGGUAGCGAACAGGAUUAGAUACCCUGGUAGUCCAUGCCGUAAACGGUGGGCGCUAGGUGUGGGGGUCUUCCACGACUUCCGUGCCGUAGCUAACGCAUUAAGCGCCCCGCCUGGGGAGUACGG
rnacentral:rRNA from 1 species